rnacentral:rRNA from 1 species
CACGUAGGCGGCUUUUUAAGUCGGAGGUGAAAUCCUGGAGCUCAACUCCAGGACUGCCUUCGAUACUGAGGAGCUCGAGUCCGGGAGAGGUGAGUGGAACUGCGAGUGUAGAGGUGAAAUUCGUAGAUAUUCGCAAGAACACCAGUGGCGAAGGCGGCUCACUGGCCCGGUACUGACGCUGAGGUGCGAAAGCGUGGGAGCAAACA